rnacentral:rRNA from 1 species
AUUGAACGCUGGCGGCAGGCCUAACACAUGCAAGUCGAAUGGUAACAGGAAACAGCUUGCUGUUUCGCUGACGAGUGGCGGACGGGUGAGUAAUGUCUGGGAAACUGCCUGAUGGAGGGGGAUAACUACUGGAAACGGUAGCUAAUACCGCAUAACGUCGCAAGACCAAAGAGGGGGACCUUCGGGCCUCUUGCCAUCAGAUGUGCCCAGAUGGGAUUAGCUAGUAGGUGGGGUAACGGCUCACCUAGGCGACGAUCCCUAGCUGGUCUGAGAGGAUGACCAGCCACACUGGAACUGAGACACGGUCCAGACUCCUACGGGAGGCAGCAGUGGGGAAUAUUGCACAAUGGGCGCAAGCCUGAUGCAGCCAUGCCGCGUGUAUGAAGAAGGCCUUCGGGUUGUAAAGUACUUUCAGCGGGGAGGAAGGGAGUAAAGUUAAUACCUUUGCUCAUUGACGUUGCCCGCAGAAGAAGCACCGGCUAACUCCGUG